rnacentral:rRNA from 1 species
AUUGAACGCUGGCGGCAGGCUUAACACAUGCAAGUCGAGCGGGGAUUGGGUGCUUGCACCUAAUCUUAGCGGCGGACGGGUGAGUAAAGCUUAGGAAUCUGCCAUUUAGUGGGGGACAACAUUCCGAAAGGGAUGCUAAUACCGCAUACGCCCUACGGGGGAAAGCAGGGGAUCUUCGGACCUUGCGCUAAAUGAUGAGCCUAAGUCGGAUUAGCUAGUUGGUGGGGUAAAGGCCUACCAAGGCGACGAUCUGUAGCGGGUCUGAGAGGAUGAUCCGCCACACGGGGACUGAGACACGGCCCAGACUCCUACGGGAGGUAGCAGUGGGGAAUAUUGGACAAUGGGCGGAAGCCUGAUCCAGCCAUGCCGCGUGUGUGAAGAAGGCCUUAUGGUUGUAAAGCACUUUAAGCGAGGAGGAGGCUACUCUAGUUAAUACCUAGGGAUAGUGGACGUUACUCGCAGAAUAAGCACCGGCUAACUCUGUGCCAGCCGCCGCAGUAA